CCAAUAGCGUAUAUUAAAGUUGUUGCAGUUAAAAAGCUCGUAGUUGAAUUUCGGGGUUAGUAGGUUGGUCAUGCCUCUGGUAUGUAAUGGUCUCACUGAUUCCUCCUUCCUGAUGAACCGUAAUGCCAUUAAUUUGGUGUUGCGGGGAAUUUGGACUGUUACUUUGAAAAAAUUAGAGUGUUUAAAGCAAGCUAACGCUUGAAUACAUUAGCAUGGAAUAAUGAAAUAGGACGUUCGGUCCUAUUUUGUUGGUUUCUAGGAUUGACGUAAUGAUUAAUAGGGAUAGUUGGGGGCAUUAGUAUUCAAUUGUCAGAGGUGAAAUUCUUGGAUUUAUUGAAGACUAACUACUGCGAAAGCAUUUGCCAAGGAUGUUUUCAUUAAUCAAGAACGAAAGUUAGAGGUUCGAAGACGAUCAGAUACCGUCGUAGUUCUGACCAUAAACGAUGUCGACUAGCGAUCCGCGGCCGUUGUUCAUAUGACUUCGCGGGCAGCCUUCG
rnacentral:misc_RNA from 1 species